CAAUACUCCGCCGGCGACCGGCGCACGGGUGCGUAACGCGUAUGCAACCUACCUUUAACAGGGGCAUAACACUGAGAAAUUGGUACUAAUUCCCCAUAACAUUCGAGAAGGCAUCUUCUUGGGUUAAAAACUCCGGUGGUUAAGAUGGGCAUGCGUUGUAUUAGCUAGUUGGUGAGGUAACGGCUCACCAAGGCAACGAUACAUAGGGGGACUGAGAGGUUAACCCCCCACAUUGGUACUGAGACACGGACCAA
rnacentral:rRNA from 1 species